rnacentral:rRNA from 1 species
GGGAGAAGACAUUGUGUCUUCGAGUCGUUGAUUUCACACUGCCGAGAAAAGCCUCUAGAUAGAAAAUAGGUGCCCGUACCGCAAACCGACACAGGUAGUCAAGAUGAGAAUUCUAAGGUGAGCGAGCGAACUCUCGUUAAGGAACUCGGCAAAAUGACCCCGUAACUUCGGGAGAAGGGGUGCUCUUUAGGGUUAACGCCCAGAAGAGCCGCAGUGAAUAGGCCCAAGCGACUGUUUAUCAAAAACACAGGUCUCUGCUAAACCGUAAGGUGAUGUAUAGGGGCUGACGCCUGCCCGGUGCUGGAAGGUUAAGAGGAGUGGUUAGCUUCUGCGAAGCUACGAAUCGAAGCCCCAGUAAACGGCGGCCGUAACUAUAACGGUCCUAAGGUAGCGAAAUUCCUUGUCGGGUAAGUUCCGACCCGCACGAAAGGCGUAACGAUUUGGGCACUGUCUCAACGAGAGACUCGGUGAAAUCAUAGUACCUGUGAAGAUGCAGGUUACCCGCGACAGGACGGAAAGACCCCGUGGAGCUUUACUGUAGCCUGAUAUUGAAAUUCGGCACAGCUUGUACAGGAUAGGUAGGAGCCUUUGAAACGUGAGCGCUAGCUUACGUGGAGGCGCUGGUGGGAUACUACCCUAGCUGUGUUGGCUUUCUAACCCGCACCACUUAUCGUGGUGGGAGACAGUGUCAGGCGGGCAGUUUGACUGGGGCGGUCGCCUCCUAAAAGGUAACGGAGGCGCUCAAAGGUUCCCUCAGAAUGGUUGGAAAUCAUUCAUAGAGUGUAAAGGCAUAAGGGAGCUUGACUGCGAGACCUACAAGUCGAGCAGGGUCGAAAGACGGACUUAGUGAUCCGGUGGUUCCGCAUGGAAGGGCCAUCGCUCAACGGAUAAAAGCUACCCCGGGGAUAACAGGCUUAUCUCCCCCAAGAGUUCACAUCGACGGGGAGGUUUGGCACCUCGAUGUCGGCUCAUCGCAUCCUGGGGCUGUAGUCGGUCCCAAGGGUUGGGCUGUUCGCCCAUUAAAGCGGUACGCGAGCUGGGUUCAGAACGUCGUGAGACAGUUCGGUCCCUAUCCGUCGUGGGCGUAGGAAAUUUGAGAGGAGCUGUCCUUAGUACGAGAGGACCGGGAUGGACAUACCUCUGGUGUACCAGUUGUCGUGCCAACGGCAUAGCUGGGUAGCUAUGUGUGGACGGGAUAAGUGCUGAAAGCAUCUAAGCAUGAAGCCCCCCUCAAGAUGAGAUUUCCCAACUUCGGUUAUAAGAUCCCUCAAAGAUGAUGAGGUUAAUAGGUUCGAGGUGGAAGCAUGGUGACAUGUGGAGCUGACGAAUACUAAUCGAUCGAAGACUUAAUCAA